rnacentral:misc_RNA from 1 species
UCGUAUUACUCGGGUUGUCGCUGACCUUUGAAAGGGGUCGUGCACGCCCAUAAUCCAUCUCACCCCUUUUGUGCAUCACCGCGUGGGGACCCCCUUUUGGCUAGCUCCAAGGGGGGUUUUCACGUUUUUACACAGACACCCUUAUGUAUAGAAUGUCUUACUAUUUGCGAUAAAAUGCAAUCAAUA